AAACCAUGCACCGAAGCUGCGGCAGCGAACGUAUCACCCAAGACAACUUUACGGAGUUAACGAUUGACGGAGCGAAGCGACGUCAAAGCGUUCAUUAAAGUCGAGUUGGCUUAGGGAUACGUUCGUUGGGUAGGGGAGCGUUCUGUAAGCCUGUGAAGGUGGCCUGUGAGGGUUGCUGGAGGUAUCAGAAGUGCGAAUGCUGACAUAAGUAACGAUAAAGCGGGUGAAAAGCCCGCUCGCCGGAAGACCAAGGGUUCCUGUCCAACGUUAAUCGGGGCAGGGUGAGUCGACCCCUAAGGCGAGGCCGAAAGGCGUAGUCGAUGGGAAACGGGUUAAUAUUCCCGUACUUGGUGUUACUGCGAAGGGGGGACGGAGAAGGCUAUGUUGGCCGGGCGACGGUUGUCCCGGUUUAAGCGUGUAGGUGUGUGUUCCAGGUAAAUCCGGUUCACUUUAACACUGAGGCGUGAUGACGAGGCACUACGGUGCUGAAGCAACAAAUGCCCUGCUUCCAGGAAAAGCCUCUAAGCAUCAGGUAACAUCAAAUCGUACCCCAAACCGACACAGGUGGUCAGGUAGAGAAUACCAAGGCGCUUGAGAGAACUCGGGUGAAGGAACUAGGCAAAAUGGUGCCGUAACUUCGGGAGAAGGCACGCUGACAUGUAGGUGAAGUGAUUUACUCAUGGAGCUGAAGUCAGUCGAAGAUACCAGCUGGCUGCAACUGUUUAUUAAAAACACAGCACUGUGCAAACACGAAAGUGGACGUAUACGGUGUGACGCCUGCCCGGUGCCGGAAGGUUAAUUGAUGGGGUCAGCGCAAGCGAAGCUCCUGAUCGAAGCCCCGGUAAACGGCGGCCGUAACUAUAACGGUCCUAAGGUAGCGAAAUUCCUUGUCGGGUAAGUUCCGACCUGCACGAAUGGCGUAAUGAUGGCCAGGCUGUCUCCACCCGAGACUCAGUGAAAUUGAACUCGCUGUGAAGAUGCAGUGUACCCGCGGCAAGACGGAAAGACCCCGUGAACCUUUACUAUAGCUUGACACUGAACAUUGAGCCUUGAUGUGUAGGAUAGGUGGGAGGCUUUGAAGUGUGGACGCCAGUCUGCAUGGAGCCGACCUUGAAAUACCACCCUUUAAUGUUUGAUGUUCUAACGUGGACCCGU
rnacentral:rRNA from 1 species